UGGUUUCUUAGACAUGGUGACCAUUCGCCAAGCCCUGCUUUCUGUGGGGCUCAAUUUCGCCAAUUGCUGCUGCCCUUCCUGAGUUAGAUGAGUUCAGUGCCGAGGUUGCCUGCGCUUUCCGCCUGCUGGACGUGCAACAAGCUGUAGGGCUCACUGUUCCCGCAACAGUUGGCGCUAAAGCCUGCCAUCCAAGGUGCGUUGUGUACAAAUGUAUACCUAACCAAUCUCGGGCAAUCCUGCAAAAACCUUGUGAGCUGUCACUGCAGACAGCUCUUGUAGGAAUUGCGCUUGCAGCUUGCAUUUGGUGUUGUGAAUAUCUCGGAACGUGCUGGAACCACGCACGGCCCCAUAACUUCAGACGGCCUCGCCGGUCUGCGAUGACUCCCAGAGCGCACGGCCGACACAAUAAGUCACGAUUGCCAUAAUUGUGUCUCGGCACUCGACACACAUUUGCAUCAGAUUCACGGCGCGGGGUAACGCGCUGCGAACCCUGUGUGCGCUGCGCCUCCGUUGCGAGAAGAACAGGUCCAUCGUCUCUUAUACAAACUCAGAAGACUAAUGUAAGAUGGCUCCAAACCGUUGCUAGGACCGACUAACGCAUAUUCAUCAGGCAACAGGUUAACCGGACAACUUCUACCUCAACAGUUAAGCACCCACCACAUCACAAGCCGGUGUAACAGAUGUCAAACAAUCACGUAUGAUCACAUAAUCCCAUCCCACUCGGAAGCUCAUCGACAAUACAACACCCAAUGAAUAGCCUGCUUAAGCCUCACGCGUCAUGGCGGUCGCAAAGCACGUGUGGUAAGUGUACCACCGCGCGCCUUGCCACCCCACUCAUUGUUGAUUGUCUAUGGGAAAGUAAGUGCGCACGGAGGGCAACUGCGCAGAAUGAGUAACUGCCCACUGCAUGUAGCCGCCAUGGCGGUUGGAUUUCAAACCCCCCUGACGCGGCCCAUGUUGUUCGAGCUGACGAUAGCGCAUAGUGGCUUGGAGUUCAAGAGAGUCCUAUUCCUUAGCGCAGCCGCAGCUAACAGCCUCAAACCUUCUAGCGCCUACGGCAUUCUCACAUCCUCUCGCACAUCCUCACGUGAAGGGCACCGCGGAAGGGUUGAGUCCUGUGUACUUGUACGCCUGAGCAGCCACCGCGAAGGGUAGCCCCACCGACACCUCAUUGCUCUUACUGGCCACGCAGCUGUACACGGCCUCAGCCACCUCAUUGGGAGUCUGGGAAAGAGGCAGAGACCGCAACAUUUGGCGGAAGGACCUGGAGGGGGAGUUUCGGUAUGAGUUGGUUGGGGGGGAGAGACAGGAAGGGUAUUUGGGGUUUUAGGGGGGACUUCUGGGGUGGUGGGAAGGUAAGAGGAUGUAAAUAGGGCUUGAGACGGUGGGGAAGACACAGCGCGUCGUGAUGCUUUUGCCGCAGUGACCCGAGAGGUGUCAGGGAGGGAGGGAGUUAGGGAGGGAGGGAGACGGUGAAGGUGAGGAUGGGGGGAUGCGGGCUACACUCUCACCACGUCCGCCACCUCCUCCGAAGGGGACACCGAGAGAGAGUGGUGAAGGGAUUUAAUUUCACACGGAGUUUGCAUGGGCCACACAGCCCUUUGGAGGCCCACCAUGUAACUGUCACAGUGGCCCUAAGUAACCAAAAAAACCAAAACUCGACUAAAGUUCUGAUUAAAAGUGAAACACUCGGAAGUAAAACACGGGGUUUGUGAAGACCUGCCAAGUCCUCGUCCAUGGCCACGCGGCGCCUCUCUCUCUUCCCCCUUUCCCCCCCUCUCAUACACACAUAUACACACCUGCGGUCCUCUUCGCCGUUCUUUCCGUAGAAUGCUGCUCGUUCCAUGAAGUUUGACUUGACCAGGCCAGGUUGUACGACGCCGACGUGAACGCCCUGAGACUCGACCUCAGUACGGAAGGAGGCGGCCAGCGACUGGUGUGCGUUUGGGGUGGUGUGGGAAGGGACGGGAAGGGGAAAGGAGAAAGAAGGAAUUAUGCGACUAGAGUGCAAAAUGGCUGUAAGGAUAUCCCGUUAAGGAUUACCUCAAUCAGCAACAACGGUAUCAAAGUAUCAUUUCCUAAAUUGGUUUUCGUCCUCGGUCUGGUUUAAGCUCACUAUCGGCUUUUCAUUAGUCCACCACAAUGUACGACUAGCCGUGUGUCCUCUACCAUGCCUGGCCAUCAAGAAACCUUUCUUCCACCACUCCAGCUGGGACACAACGCGCAGCUUGUCCUUGUUCCUCCUGGCAGCUACAUGGCAGCUACAGACCUCUUGGGUACAUGGAGAGGUCCUCUCACCUCCAGCGCCGCCUUGCUGGCGCUGAACGCCGACAUGUACUUGGUGGGCACCGCGCCUGAGAAGCCCGUGAUCAUGACCACGGAGGGCCGCUCCCCCCCCAUGCCGCCAAACACACCACGGGCACGAGCACCACCCUUGAGGAGCACAGGCAGGAAGGCCUGGAGCACGGGUGGCGGGGAAAAAGAGGAGGGGAGGGAACGGAACGGAAUGUGAAUAUCACUUGAGACAUGAUGAAUACAUGCAAACAUGGGACACAUGAUGAAGGGUGAGAAAUGCGGGUGGAACGAGGCAGGGAGGGGAGGGAGGGGAAAGGACGCGGGAAGUGGGAAGAGCAAUUGACGUAGUGCGAACACGCAUGGCCGUAGUGUGUGGCCGUACAUAAACCUCCCAAUUCAUCCUCCCACACGCACCUGGGUGACCAUGUACGGCCCCAGGUAGUUGACUUCCAUCAACCGCUUGGCCUCCUGUCGUACAUUUCCCCGAGUAGUGAUGAUAAGGAGGAGGCGGAGCAGGAAACGGCGGCGGCGGAAGGGAAGUUAAGCAGCGGACGAUAUGGGUGCGAGUGUGGGGUCCUACCGGACAUCUGUCCCGGGGAACUGUGUUUGCAUCAAUGAGGGAGUGUGGAUGAGUGAGGGUAGGGAAGUGAUGUGGAAGGGACCUAGGCACCAAGAGACGAGGCCAACGUGCCUUUAUAUGGGCGCUAUUCCCUUCUGAGGUACACACACGCGCACACAUACAUACACACAUAUUUCUCUUUCUUUUUUCGGUUUUUCUUUCCCUUGGGUUCCCUUUGUCGUUGGUCGUGGUUUGGGUGGGUGUUUCGGAGAGCUUUUGCCUUUGCCCUAGCUGAGACUUGUGGACUCGCUCUUGCGGGACCUGAGAACCCCUUAACAGUGUUUCCACUGCAGCGCCAUCCCCGGAUGGAGGUGCUGCGGAGUGGCUGCGAAGUGUGUUGGCAGUCUGAGUAGGGGGCGGGAGCACAUAAGACUGACCGACUUGUGCUGUGUGCUCCCGACCCUUGCGCAGUGUUUCGGCUUCGGCCCCCGGCUCUCACGGCCCACAGUGUAAUCUAAGUCGUACAAUCAAUACAUCUAUGACACAUCCAUGCAAAAUAUCAAUAACUAAAAUACACAUGAAGUAUAUAGGUACAAAAACACAUGCACGUGCACUUCCUCACCAGCAUGGGGGUGGCCUCAAAGGCACCCCGGGCGAAUACCCCGGCGCAGUUCACCAGCACGUCCACGGACUCGAAUUUAGCCAGCACCGUGUUCACAAGCGCCUGGACUUGCCGCUCCUGGGGAGGCGGUGGCGGUGGUGGUGGUGGUGAGGGGUGGAUGGGUGGAUGGGUCGGCUUGUGAUGGCGAGGGGUUUGGGGUUUGGGCGGCGGCGGCUGGACCGCAAGAGCCAAGACGCAUGCAGACAUCGGCAAACGCUUCGGAAGUUUCGGGCCGUACCGAAAUUCCCGAAAACACAAAUAGGUUAUCGAAGCAGAAAUAGGAUCAUACGUCGCUAGAGGUCGGGAUUCACAUAUUCAGGAUGUCAAACUAUUGCAAAAAAAUGCAUAUUUCCACUCCACGGCCUUGUAACAAAAAUUGUACUGGAAGACAGAAAUAGACCCCUUCCCGAAAAACCAGAAAUACCCCGUUUGCCGAUGUCUGAUGGGGGGAGUUUGUUACGGUUGGUUGGGAGUUCGUUGGUGGGUUGAGGUAGUUGUGGCAGUUGGGGGUUAGGGGAAUGGAGGAAACGCUCCAGGGUCGGUGUCCCUAGAGUGGUGUAGGUAGGGAGGAUAACACGGCGCAUGUAGGUGAAUGGCAUUAUCUCGGCAGGUACGGCACUUCCGUACUCGGUCUAUGCGUUCAAAAAUCCAUCAGGCAGCUCGAACCCCGCAUCCACCCAAUGGUGCUUCCUUACACCCACCAUCACAGCCCGGCGCACGUAGUUUUUCCUAAAUCUCGUCGAGCCUUGUCGAGCCUCCUUGUUCAAGAGGAAAAACUAGUACCCGGACCCAACUGCACGACAGUUGUCUUCAUACGGUAUGCCGUACCUGCGUGACGUCAGUAGGCACCGCCAUCGCCGCACCUGCCCUUCCCGCCGCCUGAGCGCAGUCCUCCACCACAUAGCCUAAUUUGGACUCGUCGCGCGCCGCCACUACCACGUUGUAGCCCUUGCGUGCAAACACCAGCGCGGCGGCACGGCCCACACCCUGGCAGGCGGGAAGCAUCAGAGGGCGUGGUGAUCGUGCGUGUUUCUCUUGUCUGUAUGUGUGUCUGUAGAAGGAAGGAUGUGCGCGUUUGCGCGUUUGCGGAAGGAAGGCAAUCAUGUAAAACAAGAAGUAACGGAUAAAUGGCAGACAUUCAAAGCACCAGGAAUGCGGUGGGGUGGAGGGCGGGGGAAAGAGAGGUCUGGGGUAGAAGUCAAGGCUGGAGUUGGGGUUGUGUAUGGCUAGAGGGUACGAUGGUGGAACAUGUGGUGGCGUUAGCAAAAGUGUCUUCUUUCGCGAAUUGCCUGCUGCUCUGCAAUUUAACUUGUCAUGUUGUCAUAACUGGAGUGGCGCAAUGUGAGGUUCAUUUCUGUCAGGACGUAUAGCGUGCCGACAAGCCUGUCAUCGUACUGUACGACAAAGCUUGUCCAUGUGUCUUGCAGCCUCAGAGAAUUCUCUUGCAGCAGCCAUGGGUGGUUUAGGGCAAUCUUUUGAAGGAAUUAAAUUUAACCUGUGAGUCUAACCUGUGAGCCGCCGGUAAUGACGACGGUACGCCCGGUGGCUUUGAACGCGCCCUCCACAGCCGGGGUGAGUGCAAGCGCAGGCUGUUGCUGUUGACUGGACUGCAGAAACGGUGGCAGCUGGAUACGCGGCGCCGCGUUCACAUUUGUAUUGUAUGGGACUCGAUAAUUGGGCCCAGGUUCGUUGCUGGCUUUGACCUGUUGCCAGGAACAAGGACGACAUGUACGUGAACGCACUUCUGAUGGAAGAGGGAAGUGAGUUGUCGCAUGGUUAGCGUGCAAGACGAAAGACGGUUUCAUUGCAGCGUGGUUCUUACCUUGAUGAUGCGUCUUGCUGUUUGUGCACCGCGCGCACAGAAAGCCGCUGAGCUGAUGCCUGAGUUGCAUUCGGCAGGGUUUACAUAGUUCUUAGCCUGAACUCCGUAACAGCGGCUGUUAUCGAUAUUUCAUGCAAUGCUUAACUUGUUGAAGCGAAACAUCUUAGAGAAACGCAAAAAAAGCCUCGACCGAGUGGUAAAUGACUUCAUCUAGUGACGCACCUCGCCGUGCUGUCGCACGUUCGGCUUGACCCACUUGCAGCAUAUUAUGUUAUAUCAAAAGCUUAUUAACGUAGAGAGCGGUAUGCAACCAAGCGAGAGGUGCUCCUGGCCUGCUCCUGACUAGAAGACUCCUUGUAACGAUCGCAGUUUCCAGCAGUGUGCCCGCGCUGCAAGCAAUAGCACUACUCAGCAACAUGAACAACGUUUCUUCCGAAACAAACAAAGUUGUACUGCGCUCAUGCCGUACCUAAUCAUUUGCACAAAGCAACGCCUUACCGCCAAGGUUACAUGAUGAAAUAAAUAAGGCGCAUCGUCCUUCGUGUAAAAAAUAUAUCAACAGCUUUUGAGGAAGCUUCUAGCAGAAACUGUCACCCGCAGUACAAAUCCUGGAUGCACUUCGCAGUGCAACACAUUUGCGCAAAGCUGGUUUCUCAAAACAGACCCGCUGCCUGCUUAAGCCUCGUCUUCCGCCAUUCCGGCAACCUGCUAUAUUCCGCCCACUCUAAUCCCUCGAACAAUCGCUUGAAGUCCUCUUCAGCCAGCCACGUCUCCCGGUCUAGGGCCUGGACACCCUCGGGCCAGGACAGCCCUGCCUGAAGCGCCUCGGGCGGGUACGACACAUACCGACCUGCAAGGCAUAUGAAAGAGAUCCACAAGCUUUGCUGCGUUAACAUGUACCAAAUGGUUCGCCGCGUUACACCGUUACGCGCCGUUAUUUCGACAUAAGGGGUCGGAUUCCGAAUGCCCCACGCACGAGUGCCAUCUACACACAUUCUCACCUAAAGCACAUACGUACAGACGUACAUAAAAACGUGCAUGCAUUAGGCACCUACCCCGCACAUUACUCCAUUUGCAAAAGGCUCGCACCAAGUACACUUGACACGUGCACGCCCACCUAGUCCAUACGAUACAUGCGAAAUUGGACUAAUCAUACAAAUACGGAUUCCAUAGAGGACGCGGAGGUCACGGAUGUACGAAUAACCCCACACGGAUGUACGACAUACCUGACACGGAGGGUACUUGUCUAGGGCCCCCAUCCCCUAGCAGCAGCGGUUGCCGAUCCAACACCCGACCCACUCGCCGCAUGUCCGCCACUGCCUGUAGCCGCUCCUGCUGCGCCGAAACCAAAUUGUCGUACACCUCGUCCGACAACGCCUGCCGCAGUUGCACCUCGCUAC
rnacentral:lncRNA from 1 species